UUAAAUAAUAAAUAAUUCAUCCUCAUCUUAUCAUCUAUAGGAUUUUCUAUUUAAUUAUUCAUUAAUAAAUAUUUUAUUAAAUUUUCCUAAUAACUUCACAUAUAUCUCAUUACAAUAAUUUUUUACAUCAAUUUUGAUCACCAUUUCCAACCCAUCAGAAUCGGUCAAACGCUUUCUGCAAAUAUAUGCUGAUGCCAAUUCCCUUUCCAUUUCCUCGAGUUAAUCCAUCCUAUUGUGAAGCCCAGCCAAAGCUUUCUGCAAGUUCUGAUGGUUCACCACAGGUAGGUGGAUGACAACAGCAGUCAUCUAUUACACCACACCAAAUAAAGAAGAAGAAGAAGGAGAGAGAGAGAGAGAGAGGACAGCUGCAAUGCGGGCCUUCCGUCCUUCUCCCACACACCCUGUCAUCAACAUGCGCCCAUCAUCUCCUCCUUUCAUUCACAUUCAUUCCUUCAUUUGACAGCUUCUUCCUUUCUAAGUCUGGCCUUCUCUGCACAGCCACGCAAUAACCACAACCCCUUCUCUCCGACUAUAUAACCUCCCCCUCCACCUGAACCCAUUCCCAUCUCUCUCUCCCUCUCUCUAGGAAUCUGUGGAGAUCAUCGUCACAGUUGAUAUUUUCUUCUCUUCAACGACGAUGGAGGCUGCUCUUAAGCUCAGGCUCUUCGCCCUGGCCAUGGUGGUCGUCGUCGUGGCCUCUUCCUUGGUCGAGAAAGCCGCCGCUGCUGACGCACCCGCCCCCACCCCUACCUCCGGCGCCACUACCACCGCCCUCGCCGCACCUGCUGCCGCCCUUGCCUCGUUCUCCGCCCUCCUCUUCGGAUGCUUCCUCUACUAAGCCACAACGUCAUUGUUUCGUCACCUUGUUUCCUUUCCUUUGUUGUGAUUUCUUCAUGUAGUCAUUCUCUUCUGUCAUGGUGUCUAUGAAGAGAGAGGAAGAGAGAGGAAUAUGCAUGCAUCGACGUAUGCAUACGGCGGUGGUGGUGGUGGUGGUAGUGGAUAUGUAAUCUUCUCUUGGUGUUCAUUCAUUUAUGUUAAUGUGAUUCUUUCCCUCUUCUUUUGUCAGAAGUAAAUGAUCUAUGCUACCAUCUAAGCUUCUAAGCUUCUCAAAAAGGUUAUGGCUGCAGAACAAUUGCCGAUCAAACGCCAUUAAUUGCGUUAUGCUUUGUGCUUUGCCAAGAAGAGAGCAAUCAUCAGUUGAAGAAACUGGUGAUCCCUUUGCUCAUCAUGGCUUGUAGUUGAUUCAUUCAAUGCAUGAAGACAACAAUGAGUUGGCAAUGCUGGCUCAACAUGGCCUUGCUGUUCGCAUGGCUUCUCAGGUUCCACAGGGUCCCAUGCCAUCAAUUAUAGCAUGCUUGUUGCUCCUCCUCUAUAAUGAGUGCCCUCAAUCAAUGUUCGAGGUCGAUAGGAAUUAGAACCUUUACCUUUUGUUGGUUUCAUGUGGAACUACAUAAAGAGUUGUAGUGAUGGGGGAAAUAUCACUUGUCAACCAUAUAUACCAUUCAUUUAUUUGCUAAAUGUUCAUUUCUAAAAGCUUAAAAACUUAGUUUAUAAGUUCGUCGGGUCUCUCUAUACUUGAAGAUAAUUAUUGGUGCUCACAUCGCUCAGUACAACCAUCGCUCAUUCUAAUUGGUAGUUGAGACUUUAACUUAUAUAGGCACCCUUUUAAAAUGUAAUAUGGUGUAAAAAAAAUUAGGUUUUGAUAAAUAUUAAAAAUUAAGUUUUCAGUAAUCUUAAGUAUAUACUUAAGCUAUUAAGGAAAGGAUCCAAUUUAUAUUAAUUUUUUUACACCCUCAGUUGUCUACAAGCUGGAUUUUUUUAAUAAAAAAUAGAAAAAAAUAAUUAUGUUAAAUAAUAUACAUGGCAUUGAUAUUAUUUAUGCAAUAAUACACUAAUAAAUUCGGAUGUCUCAACAGAGACCACAAGUUGGAUUAGACUUGGCAAAUAAAAUUGAAUAAAAAUAAAUGAUGUGUAAAAUAAAAAUAAACGUAUACAUAUAUUGAUGUCAUGAUCUGCCUAUGGUAUCAUGAUAAAUAUUUUAAUUUAGUCACCAUUAAUCCUUAAAUUAUUAGGAAAUGACUCAUGAAUAUAAUCAAAUGAGUAGGUAUUUCAAGUAUAUGCCUUUAGAAUUUAAAAUGAUGAUGUAUACCACCAAGUAUUUAUUUUAAAGAGAUAUGCAUGUAUUUGAAAAGGAGUGAAAUAUUAAUAUGAUUUUGAAACUUCUGGAUUUCAGAUAUGAAAGAACACAACAUAUAUUGUUCAUAGAGUAGGGUUCAUUGCAUGUACAACCAAAAACUUGAUCUAAGUUUUAGUAAAAAUUGAUAUUUCAUGUAGGUGGGUAUGUAUAAAACCUCUCUCUCUCUCUCUCUCUCUCUCUCUCUCUCUCUCUCUCUCUCAUACACACAUACAUUCUAUAGACAUGAUGGAAUACAAGGAUCACUGAGCAUGAAUCUUUGAUGCAGAUCGAAUGCAUAUAAACAAGGGAUUCAGUGUCACUGGCAAGUUGACAAGGACAUGGAAGCUACUCUUCUAGCUAUAUGAAAAUGACAAUACUGCAAUUAUCAGCCUUCCUCUCUCAUGGUCAGUAUCAAUACACAUCUCUCAUAACUGGCUCAGCAAAGAUAUCUUUCCCCCUUAUUUUUCUUGAUUCUUUUUCUUGGUUGUUUGCAUGGCAUUUAGUCUUCCAUGCCUGACCAGAGUGGAUCUGUGGUCGACCUUUUCCUGACAAUUUGGACCUUCAAAUCACCUCCUUGUCAACAUCACUACCUCCGAUUUGCUCAAACAAUUACAGAAUAGGGUAAUAAAUUAGUGAUGAUUGAGUUGUUCUCUGUAUCAUCAAACAUUUCUCUGUUUCAGUUCCUUUGUGCAGAAUAAGCGAAGCAGAGAGUGUGUGUUGACAGUGUGAGAGAGGGAAACAUGAAACCAAGCUUUAGGCAACCACAGAAAGAAGCUGAAACGAGCACUGUAUUCGGCUGUAAUUUGAAGAGCAAGUAGAAUUAUUGCCAUGCAAGGCAGCUUUACAACGUGAUCUUAUGGCAUGCAUUUCCACAAACACAUGUAAUCUAUAGCAUUUAUUGUCGAGAAGAGUGAUCGAUCAAGCACUUGCAAUGUAUCCUCCAAAUGAGAUGUGUGCCCUCGUCAUGGGAGCUCCCCUCGCGGCUGACAGUGCCUGGUUUAGCCUUGCUGCCUGUUGCACAACCUCCUUCAUUCUCUGCAAUCACAUCACACAAGAGGAACUUAGGAUGGGAUUAGAUUAUCUUAAUUGAUCGAUGAGCAGUACCUUAUCGUGGGUGUAGAUCUUGAACUGGAUCUUAGGUUUCUGAUGCUGUCGGCAGCCAAGGAUGAAGAUGCAGAUAGUAGCAGCAGCAGCUGCUGCUGCUGAUGCUCCCAUGGCGCAGAAGGCUCCAAUACCUGUCGAUCUCCAAUUCCCCGGAGGAGGAAACCCGAAGCCUUUGAUCUCGGAUCCUGCAUGAUCUUUCUCUUCUCCCUCUUCCCUGACUUGCGAUUCCACGUCUGGUGUGACGACGCCGAUGUCUUUGAAUCCUUUGGCUUCAGCAUCAUCAUCUGAGUUAUUCUCCAUGGUUGGCUCUGAGUUCUGCUGCUGCUCCAAGAAAGAUUGUGAUGGGCAGAUGAAGUAAUUGGCAUCAAGUGUGAGCUCCUUGAGCACCAAAUCAUUUUGACUGCCAUGGCUGAAGUCCAGCAAGCUCUUGUCAUCAGGGAGGAACUCCCAGUCAUCGAGAUCCCUCUCCAGGCAAGAUUUCUCCAUGUGAUCAGAAUUAGGGACGACUGUGUGUGUGUGUAUGAGAGAGAGAGAGAAGAGAGAAGAGAGAGAGAGAGAGGACUUAUCCUUCCACCUGCCAAGACUUUUCCUAUAAAUCUAAUUCCCAACUUUUGUUUGACGACUUGCAGAGGAGGAAUGAGUUCUAAUUCCUCGAACAGUUCUUGUGCAUGAUUGGGCUGUCUGCCAGUCUCUGUCUUGGUCUCUCUCGCUCUCUCUGCUUCACACAUUAAUUCCAAUAUGCACAGUUAAGGUUUGGGUUCGUUCGAGCGUCACGAGUUGGUUGCGGCAAGGCGAUUCGAAAUGGGUGCGCCACAUGAACCGGGCGACUCGGGCGUGCGGCUCAAUUAAAUCAGGGAUUGGGUUCCGUUGAGCUCGAAGUAGUUGAUUGGGCUGAACCAUUUCAGCCAACUAAAUCCUUCCCCAUGACGCGAACCGGAAAGGACGAACCAUUGCUGCCCCUCACCCGCACGAACUGUCGCUGCCCGAGCCGCUCUCCUCCCUGUCGAGCAGCUGCUCACCCCUCCGGCGGUACCUCUCUCUCUCUCUCUCCCUACUUCCCUUCACUCUUCUCCCUUUUCCACCAGCAGCCGCCGCCCUCUCUGCCUCAGGCAGCCCUUUGGCGCCUCCGUUCUCUCUUCCCCAGCCGCCGCCAUUGUUGAUGCACCGAUGCCUUUUUUUGCUGAUGUGAUGCCAUUGGGUGCAAAUGUCACGUUUAUAUGAAAAUUAGGAAGAUUUCGACACACUUCAAAAUAAAACAUGAUGAAAAUUCUAAGUUUUUUUAAUCCAAAUAUUUUAGUAGCCUUAUAAUAUUUGUGACAAUUUACUGUGAGGGAACGAAAAUAAAAAAAAAGAUAAUAUGUUAUUUUAUUGUAAUAGUUGGAAAUUCGGCUUAGCUCAGAUUAGAUUUCAAUGGAAAACCUAUUUUCUUAAAAGGAUUUAUAUUUUUAUGUCAAAGAAAGAAACCCUCUUUGGGGAAUAUAGGAAUGUAAGCCCUAAUUUAUAUAUUAUAUUUGCCAAAUAUGAAGCUUUUCCCAUGAAAUUUUAAUCUUGCGUCGGAAAUGAUAUUGUAUUUGUCAAUGCAUGAUGGAGUGGGGACAGAACUGGAAUUUACGUAUAGGCUCCACUCUGCCUCGAUGGGCCGGGCUUGAAAUAAAAGCCCAUUAAGACAAUGCUACGAUUGGCCCAUUACAUGCUCCUCUAGGGUUUCGCUUCCCUCCCCUGCGGUCGGUUUCGCUUCUGGAUAUCUUAGCACGGGCGACAGCGCAGAGAGGGGUGUUUGGUUCCUUUUCCUCGAGCUCGUCUCGGUAGGUUGUCAUCCUUCCCGAUCACAUUACUCUUCUUGGCUUCUCUUUGAUUGGUUGCUGCGAUGUUUUUGAGUUUUGGCGAUAUGCAAUUGUUCUUUCUUUCGCGUUUCUUGGUCUUUCAUCGUCUUCAUCAGAUCAAUUUGUACAGCAGAUAAUACUUGCGUUCCCGUCAUUCUUUAAAGGUUUAGUUGUUUGCUUGCAACUUAGAAGUAGGUCAUCUAAUGCCAUGCAGUACUAAUGUGGAAGUUGCCUUUGUGCGUGCGUGAGAGAGAGAGAGAGCAGUCCGCGUUGUAGGACACGAAGGCCACAAGAACAUGUCAAUAUAAAACCCAUUUGUCUGCUAAAGUCCACAGCCUAAAAGAGGGGAAUCAGCCACCAUAGCAGUUGGAAAAAUGUACUGCUUUCAUUAGAUGGGGGUUGAACCUUAGACCUCCAGUGAUGGAUGAGAGAUGCUAUACCAUUCAAGGAUAAGAGAUACUGGAGAGGUUACUACUGUUGUUAGGAUUGUCAUUUAUUUUUAAUACAUAAUGAAAAGAAAAUUUUGUGAAACCGAAUGGCUCAAGUUUGAGCCCAACAAUCUAUUCUAUGUUUUCUUCACAAUAAUGCAUUUGUUUUGCUCGUAGUGGCAGCCAUAGUAAAGAUUGAAGAAUCAAGUUUGAGAUCAACAAUGCAUUUCCUGCAAGAUAACGGAAUUGUAUACCCAUCAAAAUUUUGUUGUAGAAUCUUUUACAAGUUCCUCCAAGGAAAAUUCUAACUUGGCUUUGUUCUAAAAUGCAUGUUUUUUUGUAUAACUCAGUUUAAUUGUGUCUAUGAUGGUUCACUUAACUUAAGAUUUUCUUGCUACAUAUAUGGUUCCUUAUGUUAUUUGCAUGAUGCAAAAAAAUUGUAAGAAAUAUUGAAAAAGAAUUGUUGAUGCGCUGAUGCAUUUUUUUGCUGAUGCGAUGUUAUUGGGUGCAAAUGUGGUUACCUGUGUCAUUUUUUGUUCAAUAUGUCAUGUUUAUAGAUCAGUCUUGUGAUAUGCAGGAAUAAAUUGACUCCUGAGUUGCAUACAAGAUGAGAUUAGAAAAGUGUUGGUUCUGUUCCUCAACCAUUUAUCCAGGCCAUGGAAUUCAGUUUGUUCGAAAUGAUGCAAAGGUAAGGCCAUGUUUUCCGAAUUAAUUCAUCUGGAAGACUGGUUUCCAGGCUUCUUCAAAAGAAAGGUGUUAUAAUAUAAAAUUGGGAGACUUGUACCAUUUGAAAAUAUGAUUGUUACUCAUAGUACUACAAACUUGGUUGUUUGUGUGACUCUUGUGCUUUAAGCUCCUUCACUAUUAUCUGACAGACUUGUACUAAUCCUUUAUAUGUCAUAAAUCUUAACCCUAUUAUGAUAUUAUUUUAAUUGCAUGUUAUUUCAGUUUGCUCUCUUCGUUCAUCUAUAUCUAAAUUGGUUAUAUCCAUCUUUCAUUAUGCAGAUGUUGUUUUGAUCUACAAAUCAUGCUUUCAUGAUGAAAUCAAAAUGGCCCUAAAUGGUCCUAGUUCAUUACUUGGAUUAUGAUUUCAUAUGAUUGUAACAGAUAAGUCUUUAUUGUUGGUGAGAGAAUGCCAUAGAUUUCAAGAUUGAACUUGAUUAUUUUCUUUUAUGUACACACACACACACACACACACACACGUGUUCUCAUUCUUUUGUUCAUUAAAUUUUGAUCUCUUGUUUCCUUUUGUUUUUUAUAUUUUCUGAAUUGCUUGAGCUUUAGAAAGGACAAGGAGAAAGGAACCCAAUGAUCCACAAUUUGAUUCAUGAUCUGAUAUAAUCUUUGUUAGGUGUAAUGCAUUCAUAUUUUUCUGUUCAUCAAGUGUUUGGCUCUUAUUUACUAUUAUUUUCAUGUUUUCUCAAUUGUUUGAGCUUUAGAAAGCACAAGAAGAAAAGAAUCUAUCUCUCAUGAACCCUCUUAGUGAUUCUUAUCUGAAGUAAAGUAGUCUUUUUCUUAGUUUUUAUGAUUUUUUUAGAAUUCUAAAUUAUUUUCAUGGAUUCCACUGAUCUGAUUCAUUAAUCAGACUGAUACUGAUCGUUCUGCCAUCGUAAGAUCUCAAUCCCUAUUUUGAGCGAUGGGCUUCUUACAGAAUUCUAGCAUGCAUUAUGGUCUUUUUAGCUUACCAGCAGUCAACAAGAUGCCAUGGAAACAGGUGUAGUCCAGUGCUUAUUGGAUGAACAUGCCUCAUUCAGUUUUAUGAAAAUAGAUGCUAUACAAAGAAUUUACUUUAAAACCCAGUCAAAUGAAGGCAUUAUGUUCAGUUUCAUCAAAAUAGAUGCUGUACCAUAUGUCAAGAUGAGAUUGGGGUUGAUUUUGAUCAGAUCUGUGUUAAAGAAAAACUGAUCUUGAUGUCCCAACAGAUUGACAUAAGUCAAUCCGUAAGUGCACGAGUUCCAAUAUGAAAACCUGAUUCAUUUGGUUUGAUUUGGUUAGUCUUUCAUGUUUUCCAAUGUUUGGACUCAUGACAGUAGUACAGUGGUGAAAAAAAACCCCAUUGGAGAAGAAUGAAAUAGAACAUGAAACUGUGGGCUCCUGUGUAGUGGGAGGAGAUUUUAUGAUGAGAUAAUAUCUAAACAUUCUAUGUUUUAGAUGAUCAGAUUGCGUCAUAAGUAUAACGGAUGGUUGUUGACUGGCAUCUGAUCCAAUUAUGAAUUAGACAAUCAGAAUAGUUUAAUUGGAUUGUACUGAUAAACAAUCAGAUUAAGAUUUGUUCCAAUAAACAGUUCAAAUUUGUUGAGAUAGCAUCAUAUCUGAUCCAUUGAAAGACAUCUUUGGGGAACUAUAUGAAGUAAAAGCUACAUAGGAACUUAGAGCCAACAUUCUUCAUUUUGUAUGCCAAGUUGUGCAGAAUAGCUUAAGCCUAUGGCUCCGCUGCUUCUGAUGAUUUAUAUUAUCAAGGUUCAGUUAUGUAUACAUACAGUUUGUAUGUCAGCCAUGGUUUGUGAAGUCUAAUGCGCAUGAAAACAUUAUUAGCCUAUAAUGUUGUUUGCUAGUUCCUAUUGUCAUCGAUGAAAGUUCUUUUGCAGAUAUUCCGAUUCUGCCGAUCAAAAUGCCAUAAGAAUUUCAAAAUGAAGAGAAAUCCUCGCAAGGUGAAAUGGACAAAGGCGUAUAGGCGAUUACAUGGGAAGGAUAUGACUCAGGUUAGAAAUGCUAGUGUGAUACUUUUUUCUGUGUUUCUUUGUUUAAGUUGCUGAAAUUGCAUGACACGAUGACUAUCUAAUGACUGCUAUCCCUGUUAAGGACUCGACAUUUGAGUUUGAAAGGAAGCGUAACAGGCCUGAAAGAUAUGAUAGGAAUGUCACAGAGAUGACGCUGAAGGCUAUAAAGAAGAUUGACAAGAUCAGAGUGACCAGGGAGGCUCAACACCACAAAAUGAGGUUGGUUUCCGUUACGAGUGGUAUCCCAUUUUCUUCAAUUUGCAAUUUAUAUUCUGAUAUGCCAUACUCAUAUAUCUCACAGGAUGAAGGGUAAUAAAGCAAUCGAGCAAGAGGCGGCAAUUAAGGAGUUGGAGAACAGUAUUAAUUUGGUCAAAGCACCUGCUGCCCUGCAGCAGGGAUCAGAAAUUACUCUUCCAAAGAUCAAAGUCAAGGUUUCUCAAUCACAAGAUGUGGGAGAGCGAAUGGAAGAAUAAUGGUAAUCUGGACAUUCAUCCAUCCUCCAAUUUAAAAGUGCCAUAUUAAGUUUUUGUUUUCUUUUGUGUGUUUGCACAGUUUAUGAGUGGGUGGUUCCUUGGAACAUUCUUCUACUGAAAGAUGGAUGGAUGCUUUGCCAUGGAUGUAGCUGAAAUAGUAGUUGGGAGAACAACAUUUUGUGCUUAAUUGUCUUGGUUGGUAAUGGAUGGUUUUUUUUUUUUUGUUUUAGUGGACACGUUAUUUGAUCACAUUAACAGAAAGCUUCUGAUGCAGCUCAAAAAGAACAUGGAAUGGUUGCAAUCUUCGCAUUUCGUGAUUGAUUGAUAUUACUAGUGUUGUUGUCAUCGAGCGUUUCCCGCCCCGACGAGGUGAGUCGAGUGCCUCAGAAUUGGUCCGAGAGGGCAAAUUGAAGCAGGUGUGGUUUGGAGGAUUGAUUGAUUGGGCUCACCCCAUGCGUGCGAGCCCUAUCGACACCACCACCUUGUGUCGCGCGAUUCGACAUGUGGUGGCCCUUAGGCACGUUGUUGCAUAUACCUUUUGCAACCGAGAAGAAACCUAACCUAAACUGUGAUCAAUUCAUCUGCAUGGCCCUUAGCCCUUGGGCUCGUGGGGGCCCGUCCGACGUUACCUUCUCCCCUCUCAUGAGGGGCAGAACCCUCCCUCCUCAUCCUCUUUUUUUACUCCAUCCUAUUUUUUUUUUAAUAUAAUAAUAAUAAUAAUAAUAUUUCUAUUUAAUUAUAAUUUUUAUAUAAUUUUAAUAUUUAUGAAUAUUUUGCUUGUACUCAAAGCGACAACUUAGCGCCUCCAGCCUAUCCCUACCCUCUUUCUCCUCCAUCGUUGUCCUCUAUCAAGCCUGCCUCCCAACAGUCUCACCCUCCCCCCUCUCUACUCGGUGCUUCUUCCGUCGACCAAUUUGUGUGUUGAACGGAUCUAUUUGAAAAAGUAUAUAUAUAUAUAUAUANNNNNNNNNNNNNNNNNNNNAUAUAUAUAUGCUCGAGCGAGAGCACCUAACGCCUAUGCCUAUAACGAUCAUAAGCACAUGUAACUGACAGCAUGUAUCGCUGCUUUAUUAUCAUCUGCUAAAAAGGUCUUGCAAUCUUAUUUCUUGAAUUCAUCUGCAUUGCACAUGAAACCUUGUAAGCUCAAUUCUCAAAAGGUGAGUAUCGUGAUCUUGCUCCUGCAUAAUUGGAUCCGUGGGAUGUCAGUGUGUUUCACUUCACCACAGCGUCGUAAUCAAAUUGAUAUCAUUCAAGCUAAGUCGGAUAAUUAACUCAGGUGUCAUAUUCUCUACCACCUACCCCCCACCCAGCACUCCUGGGAAUCUAUCUGAUGAACGAGAGAGAACUGUUAAUCGAACACUGUGUAAGAAGACUUUAGAAGCUUCCUAUGGUAGGAUAGGAGGAAGAAAGAAGCUUUACGGGAAGGGAUAACAAUAAUGUGGACUUCUUUUUGUGUUUUUAUUCGAACCAUAAACAACUUUAGGGACUUAAUAUCUAAUGCCACACUUUUAUUGUUCCUGUGGCAAUCACAAGAACUCGAAACGGCCCAAAGUUGCAGUCACAAACAAUUUAGUGAAGUCUAGUACAGGACAAAUCUUUUGCGGCAUCUAUUGCCAGUUAUCAAUCAGGAGACCCUGUCGUUUGACACAGCUAAGAAUCCACCAGUCGAAAGUUUUGAGUCAGGAACUCGUCUAUCAUUUAACUCAACAAUAAAAGUUUUUGUGGCAUGAAAUGGAAGUAGUGCAGAGUGACUAAAAAUGAUAUCAGUGGUGUGUCAUCUACAGAAGAUUAGUGAUACCAGGGAUAGCAUAUUACCACAAUAAGACUGUCUUUUGACACAAAGCUAAGAAUCUACAAGUAAAAAGUAAGGCCAAUGUUCUUCAUGAAUCAAAUUCCAACAAAGUUUUACCAGUCAGGAAGAACUCAUUAAUGUCUAUAACAUUUGUCCCACAACAACAAAAGUAUUUGUGGCUUGAAAUAGCAGUGUAGUGCAGAGUGGCGAAUACUAGUUGUAUGUCAACUACAGAAGAUCACUGAUGCUAGGAUAGCAUAUUACCAUACCAGUUAUGUACUCAAUGCCCCUUCAGGUUUCGUUUAAUGGAACCUCUGGUUUUGGAAGAGUCCGAGCGUGGCUGAGACCUCAUCCUUCCUGAGUCAUGUGGUCGCUCAGUUGAUGGAAGCACCCAUCCUCUUGUGUGCUUUUGACUGCUGUUGUUACCACUCCCUACACGACCACACAUGGAUAUAGAGUUAAACAUCAUUGGGUUAAUAUGGCAGAGCAAUUAAGCCAUGCAAAAACAAACUAAAAGAUUAUUAGGCUUUUCUGUUAAAAAAGAAACAGUCACAAAGAAAGGAGUCAAUUUCAAAGGGUCAGUAUGACUGAUGCAUUAAUCAAGGUUGACAAAAGCAAAAUCCUAAAAGGAAUAAGUUGUUUGCAACCAAAGAGCCCACAAGUAGCAGUGGCCAACAAAUGCAUAGGCCACAGAAAAUUGUUAUAAAUGAGGUUGUUUGGAUUCUGCAUAUAUAGUUGCUCUUUAACUAAAGAACAGGAAUGGCAACUGGUCUUCAAAGGCAUAGAAGCAAGCAGAAGUUGUGCAAACUGUAAAGGAGGUAAGAAGCAACACGAGGUAAUGAGUGAGAGGAGAGAAAUAUCAAAAUACAAACUUUACCUUAACCCUAAAAAUGUGACAUGUAGUAUUUUGAAUUGUAAGUCUGUAUGAGGGUUUAGUUUCAUAUGCACAUGUUGCAAGUGACUUAGAGACAAGCAAAUGCUUGCAAAUGUAUUAACUACCAGAAGAAAAACUUACAGGCAGUUCACUUGCAGGGAACCAAACACCCCGUAGUGAAUGCUUAAAGUGAGAGACUUAAAAAAGGCACACAUAAGUGAAGCAAGGUGUACUUAUUUUCAAGCAUCAAAGAAAAAGGAAGAGCAAUUCUAGAGUCCACGUAUUCCAAAAUCCAGUCCAUGGUCAAGCAAGAAACAACUGGUGGAUAUUGAUGGCCAGGCAAGCGGUAGCAAUGGCUGUCACCAUGCUACUGCUUUUGCCAAGCAAGAUGAGCAGCUUUUGCCACCAAGCCAAGAAAGGAGCAGCCACUGCUUCAGUUGACCACUGCAGUUGCCAGCAUCCCAAGUGACACUAAUCUAGCAUCCUGAAAGGUGGGAGGAAAAAGAAGAGAAAUAGGAACAAUUAAUAAAAAUUUUGCUCAUCAUUGUAACCCAUCCACAGAAUAUCAACUGGCCACCUUUGGAACCAGCAGAUCAUGGAUUGCCAAUUAUUUUCUCCUGAUACUGAAUUACGACCUUGUUGUUGUUGUUGUUAUUGUACACAGGAUACUGUCAAUUUUGAAACAGGAAUUGAUGUAUGGGUUCACAGAUGGGUCAACCAGGGGCAUUAAGUGUACAGUGGUUGCUUGAUACUGUUAUGAAUGUACAGUUGCAACGGCUUUGCCUAGAUGCAUUAGAAGAGGCUUUGGCUCACAUUAAACUCACCCAAGUGCAUAGGUGAGCCAAGCAUAUGCCUGAUUUAACACAGGUAUAUCAUGUUAAUCCUGAACCAACUCAACAGACAGCGCCCUUGCUAAAACCUUUGCAGAACAAAGAUUUCAUCGUGAAGCCAUUCAAAUUCUAAGCAUAAGAAAAUCAUUGUAUUAGUCACAGUGAUGAAAAAGAUCAUUUUAUCAAAUAUUUUAUUGACACUUCUUUUUGGUGUUUUGUAUUGACAAUCACCUACCAGUCGACCACCAAAACCAUACUGUCGAAUAAUAGUGCAUGCGGCCACCACCAAUCCAUUAUCAAACAGAAGCUGAGUAGGAUCUUACAACAUACUGCAUAGACUAUUCUAUGCACCACAUCAGAGGCCAUCAUAACCCUUAAAAGCAACCAAAUUUCAACUAAAUUAAGUUCUUCGGUGAAAAUAUACAGGAUAAUAUAUUCUCUUAGGAAAAUUUCCAAGUUCAUCCUGGAAACAAAUUAGAGGAACAUUGGUAUUCUCUUCAUCCAGCUUUUGUGCAUUUGAGUGCAGCAUGCUUUUAUGAUAAUGAAGUAACUCAUACUACAAGAGAAAGUAUAAAAUGUCAUUGAGAACUAAAAUUAAAAGAAAGGAGCAAUGUAAAAACGUGCAUCAUCUGACAUUUCACUCGUUCUUGAAAAUUCUUCACUUGUACAAAAGAUUUUGCUGAUUGACUAACCUAGUUCAUCAUGGAAACAAAGUAGAGAAGCCUUGGGUUUUUUUUUCCAAUAGAUUCUAUGCAAUUGAGUGCAGGAAAGCUACUGUGAUACUGGAGCAACUCAUAUUUGGCCAAUUGACAUUGACUAGAGCAAGAACAUUACAAUUGAAAAGUAUGGACAAAUGUCAUUGAACACAUUACAUACUAGUUUUCGAAGAUCUUCACUAGUCCGUAGGUUUUAUCUUAUGUCUAAUCUCUUAAUUUACUACCUAUCUAGAGCAGAACCAAUAUUCAUCAAAAUCCAAUGGGAUUUCAAAUUUUAUACUGCUCCACUAGCAUUCCUUCCUAUUUGGAACUCCCAAUUAACGUGACCACAUGCACAUAGACAUGGAAGUAUGGUGCUGAUAUUAUGUGAACAAGACUUAAGAGAAAAAGUUUAACGUUACAGUAAAACCGAUCAUAAGAAAGGAACUUCUCUACCCUCAGAAUUAGACAAUCUACAACAACCCCAAUGCACCAUGGGCAUUGCUAAACUACCAUGAAGAUUAAAAUUUUCUAUGUAACAUGCCCUAGCUAAUUUAACAAUCUCAUCAAAAAUUGAAAAUACUAUUUUAACAAUGUUACUUUCGUAUAGGGCAUGCCAUUCUAUUAGGGAGAGGUAUACAGCUACACAAAGAUGCAUGACAAAAAACCUUUUUACAAAUUAUAUUUUUAGAAAGUACGAAGAUCAACCUAAACUAGUAUGUCUUGAUGCAACAUAGUGACUUUUCAUUUGAACUUCAUUCAACUAGCCCCCUAGAAUUUGGUGUCUCUUGUUAAACCUCUGCAUUUCAUUUUUUUUUCCUUUUGUUCUUCCUCUUCCAGAACUACUAUCAACUCCUCUUCAUCACUUUAUAUGGUGUCUUCCUUGCACUUCUCCUCGACAUAGGCUAAUACUGCUAUUGUUGUCUUCAUCUAUUUCUAUUAUAAUUUUGACUAUUAUUGUGUUAUCCAUGAUGUCAAUAAAAAGUUAACUAUAUAUCCAACACAUUUAGAAUGUUCUAUCGAAACAUAAAAGAAACCCAUAUAACUAGAAACCCAAAGAGCUAAGGGAUGAUAGGGCAAUAUAGCAUAUGAGGCUCUUACCGAUCUGGGCCCAAGAGGAUCACCCUUGCAAGCAAAGAUGUUGUUUCUAUAACUCUAAAUAUUGGGCACCAAGUCCUCGAAAGGUGCAAUUUUACAAUAGUGCUAAGGCUCAUUAACGCAUGGAGACAAACGGCUAUUGCCCAAUAAUAUCAGAGUAUGGUAAAUCCAAUUGAUGCAAAUGACAAGUGCAUGGCAUGACAAACCAAAAUCUCAAGGACUUGAUCAUCCAGAGGAAUGGUUGGAGAUAUUGGACAUCAGAAUACUCCAGAACUAUAUUUUACUCAAGGGAGCCACUAUGUGUUUAGAGGUUAUGAUCAGGCACAAAACAUACAUAUAUCAUCAUUGGUGGAGCCCUGCAACAUGAUGUGGAAGCCAUGCGAAGAAAUUGCAACAUGACUUUCCUUCAAGGGAAAGGACCUACUUUGAGAACACAUGCAGCAGUGUGAACUAGCUAAUCAAAAGGGGCAAGGAAAUGACAGUUAGCAGGACUCAACUAGCUAACAAGUGCAUCGGAUAUUUUGUAUUGAACACACAUCAAUACCAAUGCAAAAUUAACAAAAACUAUCCAACAACAAGAACUUAAUGGGAAGUAGUUCUUUAUUAUGAAAUCCAACAUAACACCUAGUACAUAAACCAAGAAGAAGCCACAAAAUUAUAUGUUAAUAUGCUCUCAUAUAUUUAUUUUCUCACUUCAUGCAGGAUAUUAACCAUAGUGCUCCAUGAAUAACAAUAUACAGAAGACCACAACAUAUUGUAACUGGCUACAUAAUCAAAUGCAGAAAAAUCAUUCAAUAUAGUUCAGUCUUAAGUUAGUUAAUCCGAAAAAUAACUACUUACUUAAGUUCCGAUCAUCAAGCAAAUCAAGUCCUGGCUUCCAUCCAGGCAAGUGUUGUUUAGCAUUCCCCUUCCAGUCUUCCUCGAAAACAGGCAGCUCAUCUGAUGGUUUAAAGCAAAUUGCAGUUAAAUGAAAUAAACAAAGAAUAUAAUCAUCCUCUUAGCUGCAGCACAAAAUUGUGCCAGACCUUCAUUCAAAUUAUGUAAUGUCUGUAGUGUGUCUACCCUCCCAUCUGAAUUUAGUUUUCUUGUUAGUGAGUGACCCUACAAAGACGAUGAAAAGGGUGCCUUAAGUAAUAUAGCAUAUAAACUACAUUUAACAAAAAAUGAUUCAUUAUAAUCAAGUAUCUCGAAAGUAUAUUUAAUGUGAAAAAUAAUCUAUGUUCAUAUGUACUUUGUCACGGAUCCCUCGAGAAAUCCUGUGUGUAGCUCUACCGGUAGUAGUAUCGGCCUCCUUGUUCUCCUCCAUAACAAACUGUCAUAGUCAAGAAGGGAGGUAGUACUAAUAUAAAUAAUCAGAAGAUCAUUACAGUCAUGCAAUGUUCCAAACAAAUUUACAAAAACAAAAAAAAUAGUGCAUUAGUUCACUAAGCCUGAUUACUCACUCCAUCACCACCCAUUCUCCUUGUAGUAGAUGAAGUGUAAUAUGCUCCAUUUGGACCACCAUAAGUCACUGUUGAGCUCUGGAAAGUAAUAGAGUGACUAUGUGAUUGCAUCCUAUCAGACUGGUUGAAGUUGUUCACAUAUUGCAUACGCCUUCUCUUAUUUGCUGCAAAAACCAAACCUUCUCAGGAAUCUUGCACCGCUUAGAAAUAUUAUCAUUUUGAACCCUACAACUACUAUGAAAAAGGGAACCAACAGAUAAGUCUAUACACCUUCAACUACUUCAUCAGGAUCCUGAACAUACGGCUCUUUGCUUGUUCUAGAAUGUUUUCUUGGGUUCUCUUUCUGCUCCUUGUCAGUCUCUUCUCCUCCAUUAUCAUCAUCAGACAGUUCUUGAAUGAUCGGACCCUUUGACUUAUUGACAUAAGGAGCCUGCUCCAAGAACCCAACUCUACUGGUCUCUCCAAAAACGCUCCCUCGAUCAGCAAACAUGCUGGGACCAAACAUGCUUGGUCGGAACAUGCUAAGGCCCAUCAAGCUUCCAAAAGGCUGCGUGAAGAAAGGGUCAUCGAAGGGAUCUCUCCCACCAAAAAAGCCAGAAAUCAGACUCCCUGGUCUGCUGAGGCCACCAGAUCCAGCAAAUGGAUCCCCAAAACCAAAGAAGUCACCCAUACCGCCUCUGCCAUUCUGCAUAUUCUCUGAACAUAAAUCUGAACACAUGGGAAAAAACCGAGACUGUUCAAGAAAAUGUAAAUGUUACACUAAACAAAAGGAAAAACGCGAUCGAUGAGAGAAACGAAACAAGAUCUUUUUUGUUUUCCCAACAUAUUGGUUGAAUCGAUUAAAACCAUGACAGAACAAACCAAUUGCAUAAAAAUCGAAAAUGUCAAACCCAAUAAUUCGGCUUUAUCCAUUAUCCAUAUGUGACAUUUCUCCAAAAUCCAUUCUCAAAGCCCAUUUAUUCAGUUAUCAAGCAGGCAGAAUACCAACAAAACCAAGUGAUACAAGAACACGUCAAUAGGGAACCAACAGAAACGAGAAAAACGGAAAAAAAAAAAAAAAAAGUGUUUUCAAAGAUGAUCAAUAGAUCAAAAUACUACAUUUUUCAUACCGACUAAACGAAAACCAAAACACCAGCAACCAAAUCCAAAUAGACCGAACUCCUAACCCACAUCGAAUGGAAAGCCAAAGUACCCUAACAGCAGAUCCGAAUCGAGGGUAGAAGUCUCGAUCAACACUUCCAUGGGAACCCUAGAAAACGUUUGGGUACACGAUCCGAGGAAAACAGAUUAAAAAAAAAAGGAGAAUGAAGAAAAUUACGGACCCCGAGAGAUCGAAUCGGAGCGACGUGGCCACCGGUGGCGGCCAACUCGAUCGGCAAGCCUCGGAGAUCGUAAUCGAGCGCCCGAUCUGUGGGAGACUCGGGAGCGAUCGACGACGAAGACGAGAGGUUUCCGCGUCGUCUUAUAACUGGAGCAGGAAGCAACUUAAUGGAACCGACAGAAUAAGAAAAAAAAAAAAACAUUCAUUAUAUUUAUUAUAGUAUUACAAAGGGCGAUUUUAUUUUUUUUCAAAAAAAUACUUUCUAUUAUUUCUCAAAUAGUAUUCCUAAUUUUUAUAAUAUUUUUAUUUAACUUAUUUAUAUUUUUUUAAUAAUAUUAUAAUAUUUGAUUAAGUUAUUAAAAAUAUUAAAAAUAAUAUAUUAUUAUACAUAUUAUAUCUCUUUAGUUGUGAUUGCUCGUACACCAUUAUAAUAUAAAAUUUUUAGACUUUAAUUGAUUUGAUUGAGAUUAUGGAUCUAUUUAUAUCAUCUAUAUUAUUUUUGUUAAAUACUGUAGUAGAUCAAAUCACUAUAACAAGCUAAAAUACUAUAAUUGAUUAAAAAAAGUAUCAUUAAGUUGGUGAGAAGUAUUUUGGAUAUUAUUUAAAACAAGAGACACCAUUUGAGAAAAUUAAAAACAAGAGAUAUUUUUGGGAAUUUUUUUUCUAGGAAAUUACCCUAUUAUAAAUGACCAAUUUCUUGUAUUUUUAGCAAAUAAUACUCCUCAUUACUAAAAUGGGUAGUGGGAUCCAUCGUUUAUUCAAAAAUACUAUAAUGGAGUAAUGUCCAAUUUUUUUUCUAUUAUCAUCCUUUAACAACAAAUAAACAUAUAUAUAUUAAAGAUUUUCCAAAGUAAAUUCCUAAACUUAGAAUUAGGCAAAAAAAUUAAAAAUUUAAAAUAUAUCAAAACCUUUAUAAUUUUUAUCCAAAUAUACUCAAGUUCUCGUUCAAAUAACUUUAUAAUACCUCCAAUUGAAUAAUGAAGUUGAUAAUUAUAUUAAUUUUUAAUAUUUUUCAAUAAACUUAUUGUCUUCGUUUCAUAAUCAAAGACAUAGUAAAUCAAUUUGAUUUACUACUAAAUUGAUCUAACCAAGUCAAUCUAAUUAGAUUUUCAAUGAAAAAUCUAAAACAUAGAUGUUGUAAGUUUAUCAUUUCCGGAAAAAAAAAAGAAAGAGGUAAGACUGUCUUUAGGCAUAUGAAAAUAGGAUAAAUUAUUCGUAAAAAAAUCUAAAUAGUUGAAGUUCUAAGUAUAUUUUGUACAUACACAAAUUCUAAAUAUUAAUGAUAAAUCAUUAAUGUUUUUUCUUAAUAUACAUAAGCUAAGUGUUCACUUAAUAUCCUAAGCAAAACGAGUGAAACAAGCAAAAAGGGAAAGCAAGAGCCAACUACACAUUCACAAUAAUUUAUUACCAUUAUUUUUUAAAAAAAUAUUAUAUGAAAUAAUGUAUUUGAUGCUCACAAGUGUAUUCAAAGCUGAGAUUUAUCAUUUGUGUAACAAAUACAUUAAUUAACCUAUAUGUCUCAAUAAAGAUAUUACCAUUAACUUGUUGACAUAACAAAUAACAUCAAACUUUCUAUGUUUUAAUUGCAGUAGUCUCACUCUACAUUUCCAUGCAACAACAUUUAAUAUAAGUUCUUGACAUCUAUUAAAUUAAAAAAUAUAAAUAAAAAAUAAAGAUUGACAAGAAAGAUUCGAUAAAGGACAAAAGCUAGUGCUUCCACUACGAUAAAGACGGAUAUUAAAAGAGAAACAGCAAAGAGUACCUUACAGAGAAGGCGAAACAAAAACUAAGAUAAGUUUCAUGUACAUUCAUGAUCAGUCUCUAUUUAUUAAAUUUUUAUGAUAACACAUAGGUAUUAGAUAUCGACAGUACUUAUCAUAUUUGUAAUUCGUUAUAGAUUUUGGUAAUACCUAGGAGAUUGGCAAGAGGCGAAAUGGACCUCAAGAUAAACAACGGAGCAAAAGUUGUUACAACGACUAUUGGUGAGGUCACCCUACAUCUGUCUAGUGGAGCUACUAUUACAUUGGAUUUAUGUUAUUUUUUCCUUCUAUUAUCAAAAAUAUUAUUUUUAUUUUAUGUUUGACAAUUAGUAAAUAUAAAUUAGUUUUUGAGAACAAUGGUUAUUCAGUAAUAUUGGAAGAAAAAAUCAUCAUAAGAGAAACAUUGUAUAAUGGUUUAUUUAUGCUAGACACUGUUCCACAUAUUAUAAAUACAAGUAUGUCUAAGAAGAAAUGAGAUGAAGUGAACAAUGCAUACAUGUAACCUUGUAUGCUAGGUUAUAUCCACGAGGGAAGGAUUCAAAAGUUGCUGAAUGAUGGAUAUUUAGAUCCAUUCGACUAUGAGUCAUAUGCAACUUGUGAAUAUUAUCUUUGAGAGGAUUCGAAGAGUAUUUUUAUUUUCUUUUAUAUAUUCAUAAUAAAAUUUAUAUGUUUGAAAUCUUAAAAUUAAGUUCAAAAUGCUCUUAAUACUACUCAACAAACCCUGGGUUUCGUUUCCUUCCUAUUUAGGAAUUUUAUAAUCGCUUCAUAUAUGAUUCAAUCUUCAAAUUUAUGAUACAAUAAUCAAACGCUCAUUCCACAAAAUAAGUAAUCAAUUCAUAUGUUAAUAACAUGGAGAAACCUACAACCUGUAAGCAUAUAGAGAUUUGUUUAGUCUCUAAGAAUCAAUCCCACACCUCUAACACUAUCUUAGAUAUUGAUAAUAAUAUUUAGUCUCACAUUGAUCGAGAUGUAGGAGAAUCAAGGAUUUGUAAGUCCACCCGAUCACCCUUAAUUUUAGAGGUAUUUUUUGAUACUCAUGAGUUUCGAAAGGACAAAAUCGUAACGACAUUUUUAGUACCAUCCAUUUUUAUGUUUGAACCUGAUUAUAAGUAUUUGACAAAUAUCCUUCAAACUAUUAUAAAAGUUUUUAGUAUGACAUAUAUGUUAUAGCUUUGCAAAUAAAAAAAAAAAAGAGUAUUUUGCUCCAUUAAAAGCUUCCUCAUUUCGGAUCUUCCAUAUGCCUUUAAAUGGGCCGGGUUUAAAUAUUUAGCCCAAGAAGGCUCUGUUAAAUAUGGCCCCCUCGGUCGUUGCCUAUAUAAAGCAACAGACGUUAGGGUUUCCCGUGCUUUCCCCGCGGCCGCCUUCGCUUCCGGAGAUCUCAAUAGAGAGGCGAUCUUAGCAGGUUCGUAAUCGAAUGCUGAGAUGCUUUCUUUUGGUCUUUUAGCAACUUCUAGGGUAAUUAGCGACAAUCAGUAUUACGUGAUUCCUGCUGGUUACGAUGAUCUUGUGCCGCGGAUGAUUUUUGCGUCCUGCGAACGAUUGUUAGGAAAAUAAGAUCUGAAUAUGGUGUCAUUUAUGUUUCUUAAGAUCGUAAUAUUUAGGUUUUGUAAUGCUUGUUGAUUGGGACCAGCGGCUAUAGUGAUGUGUCCUCAAGAUGGUCGAUGAGGAGAAGUAAAACAUUAGUUUUAACUUUCUUUGCUAGCUAAUCCAUCAUCCUCCAUAUAUAUGAGGUGUACAGUUCGAUAAAAAAACCCUAUCUUUUUGUCUUCUUAAAGAUGCAGUUUACUAGUUGUGUAUCAGGUUUGAGGCCAACUAUCUAUUCUAUAUUUUCUUAACUUCAGAAAGGGUUGAUGAAUCGAGGUUGAGACCAACAAUUUAUUUCCUCAAGAUAAAGGAAUUGUGGUGAUCAUCAAAAGAUUUUUGUAGAACCUUUUUAUAUGCUUCUCCAAGUAAUAAAAUAGAACUUGGAUGAGUACCAGAAUGUCCAUGUUUCAUAUAUCUUGGUUUAACUCUAUUCACAAUGGUUCACUUCUUGGUGUAUAAACUGUGAAGUAUGUCAUCCUCCAUAUAUGGUACCUUAUGUUACUUGACACACAAAAGUCUUAAGAAAUUUUAAUGUAGAAUUGUUGAUCUAGUGCUGUUUUUUUUUUGCUAGUAUGAUGCUGUUGGGUGCAAAUUGGAUUAUCUGUGUCCCAUUUAUUUUCGCAAUCAUCCAAUUCAUUCUUGUUUUUAUGUUUUUGAAUUUUCUUCAUCUUAAGUUUUGCAUACCUUCUCUUUGUAUCUUAUAAAAUUUAAAUAUUGGGGCUAAUUUUUGGGACAAUCUUGUUUUUUGAAAUUGAUGUGGUUGAUGAAAAUAUAAUUUGUAGAGAAAAAUGCUGCUUUCCCUCUAAUGCAGAGUUGCUAUUAGCCAUAUGAUAUCACCAUUGAUCUCACAGCCCAUUUAUUUGCUUUCUCAAUGGGACAUUGUGCCAUAAUGAGUUUGCAACACCAGUUCCAGUGGCAUUUUGCUCACUGUGUCUCUUUGCCUUUAAUCUGGUUUUAAUUGUCAAGCUGUUCUUCUGGUUUAUGUUUAUUUUUUUUUAAAAGUUGAUUUAUGCUGAGCACUUGAUCUGAUGUAGUCUAUUUAACUUGUUUGGUCAGCAUGGAUACUCAAGCUAAACUUGCAGUUGUGGUGAAAGUGAUGGGCCGAACUGGAUCUAGAGGUCAGGUAACCCAGGUCAGGGUUAAAUUUUUGGAUGACCAAAACCGGCUGAUCAUGAGGAACGUGAAAGGCCCUGUGAGGGAAGGUGACAUCCUCACCCUUCUUGAGUCUGAAAGGGAGGCUAGGAGAUUACGGUGAUGACUUUCAUGUCAAUGUUGCCUACAUUAGUAGGGUAACUCUAUUAAGCUACAGAUUUGUCCUUCUCUGCCAUGGUCUUUCUGGUUCUAUGGCAUUAGUUUCUAUUACUUAGUCGCUUUAUUAUGAGCUGUAUCGAGCCAAGAAACUGUUUUUUCCUCUAAUGAGUCAUUUAACUCUCAAUGUUUGAACAUUUUUUAUGCUCAUGUCAUCUCUCUCUCUCUCUCUCUCUCUCUCUCUGUUGCUCUGCUUUUCUAUUAAAGAUGUUUUUGACUUACCGCACGUUGUGCAUUGAUGGCAAGUUCUAUGUAGAUGAGUUAAACAUGAACUUCGCAUCAUGAAGCGUUUAUGAUGUCUACCGAUGCUUAUCUGUGGCUUCAGUGGUUGUGUUAAAAAAUUAUGAUUAUAAGAUGAGGAUUUAAAUCCUCAAUUAAAUUGUUGAAUCGCCGGUUCUUAUUGUUUUUAUCAAUUAAUUGAUAUAAAGAAAAAAAAGUUUGAAGUGUUGUUUAGAAUUCAUUUGUGUUUCAUUUUUCUUCAGUUAGUUUGGAAUCGAAUUAAAAUUCAAAUCGUAAUUCUUGAUUGUUGAUUGUUUUUUGUGUUGUAUUGUGAUUGUCGAUUUUUUGUCGGUUUGAAUGGUACUGUGAUGUCGGAAUUAACGUACAUCACAUGGUAGUUAAACAAUAUUAACUAUUUUAAAUCACCAAGGCACGUUAAUGACAUGAAAUAGAUCAUCAUAUCAUUAAUCUCGUCACUACUAAAUAAUAAACAGAGCAUUGAGUAGGACACACGCAUCAAAACCUAUAAUAUUAAUCUAAUUAGAAAACCAAUAUAUUGAUCUCAGAUGCUCUCAUCACAAUCAACCAUUUGUGCUACCAAUUUGACCUCUACACCACAGAUGUCAAAGAUAUUUAUAAAUAUUUUUUGAAAUUUUUAUCCAUAAAUUUCGAAAACUUUAACAGUCAAAAAGGAACUUUAUUUAUUAAAUUGUAAUAUCCUCUCACACGUGUAAGUUCGAUUGGUAUAUAAAAUUAAACUAUAUAUAUGGGACAAACUAAUUAAAAGGAAAAUAUUUUACAUAAAUUAUAUAUAGGUCUAUACAAGAUUUAUUUCAUAAUUCACUGUGAUAUUAUGGUAAUAUUUUUGAAUUGGACACUACAAAUCCCAAUAGCUACUUUGAACAGUUAAAAGUGUAUCAUUAAAUUAGUUACGCAGUUCAAGAUUCAUAUACCCACUUUUAUCUCACACAGUAAUCAGCACAUCUGCGGCGGGACCCGUUAGGGGUCCACUGACGGCUUCUCACGUUCAGGGUCCAAGCUGUUCCCAACCAUAAGAUUCCCGCACCGCGACCUCUUAUCAAAUAGCGGUUCACCUCCACCGUGUGGAUGGCAGAGUAGGCAUUCGUCGGUGAGCUCCGACUCUACCCCAUGGCUCUUCUCUCCUCCUCCUCACAUCGAACCUCUCUGGCUUCUUCCUGCCCUCAAUUCUAUGCUGCCACCUCCCACGCCGACUCCAUCGGCUUCCGACAUCGCUCGCGCCUCCCUACUAGACCGAGACCCCCAAUCUCCUUCCUUCGGGCCUCCUCCCCGACACACUCUCUCUUAGGCGCCAUUCCUCGCAGCCAUGGCCGACCUCGCGGAAGAUCCCCGCGUUUCUUUGUCUCGGUAUGUUCUGCACGUGCAUCUCCCUGAAAAUGCUCGAUUUUGAAUUGCCCAAAUUCGAUUCUUUCACAUGUGACGUACAUCGGUUUGCUAGUGCGGAUAAUUAUCAGGAAAUGCAUAUUUAGUUCUUGAUGUUCUGCUGCGUUCAAAAUCAUCUUUUUCAGUUUUUAUAUGAUUUGAAUGCGUUAAGAAAAUUGGAUUGAUCGGUUUUAAGGGGAUUGAGAUGACCGAGUAUGACCUUCAAUUUCAUUGCUUAAAGAUACAUGGUUUCUGGAACUUAAAUGUCAUUUUCUCACAGGAAGUUCCUUUCUAGGGAAUAUAAGUCUGAGACUCGCUAUUUCACAGGAAUAGAAGAGUAGGCUAAUCUUGUAUUUGUUUUGAUUUUCAUUUCCAAAUGUCGUAGUAUGCUCGUGAAAAGAAUUAAGACCUUGAAUACUCUUGCUUCUCAUGUUUUCGUGUCUUGUUUCAUCAUCAAAGUGUGAAGCAGCAAACAUACUGUUUGGGAACUUUCUGCCAAAACCUAAAUCCUUGCUUUUAAUGAUGCUUACUAGUUUCUUCUUGAUCUUUAUUUAACCAAUUCUCAAAGAAAAAUGUUCAUAUCAUGCAUAAAACUUCUGUUUACUUUCAGUAAGCCUUCUAUUCUUUUUCAAAAUUUGUUGAAUUGUAUAGAUUUCUGUUAUGUUCUAAAUUCUACAAACUAAAACAUUGUUCGAGCCUCUCAUUCAUUUCAAUCUUUUAUCUAAUAAAAGAAUUUGUCACAUGUUUUUGGUUGUUUUCCUAAAUCAUUAGAUAUCAUCACUCAACUACUUUAAGGUUUCAUAUUAUUGCAUAAUUUGCUUGAGUCUGUUGUCCUUGUCUUGAUUUUUCAAUUAUAAAUACAUCAAAAGUAUAAUAUAGACUUAACAUUCAUCUUAGUGAAACAUUUUUUUAAAGAAAAAGUUCCAUCAGCAGAAAUUGCCAAUUCUCAGAUCUCAUGCUUCUAGGCUAUCAUGGUAAUAUUAAGGGUAUGAUCAAGCACCUUGUGAUGUUGUCAUAGUGCUUUAAAGUUCCUUAUCACUUACCACAUCUUAAUGUCAACUAUGAAGAAGGGUAUGGUUCAGAGUUCAUUUUUUUGUUUUGGUUUGCUUGUUUAUACUGGUGCAUUCUCAUGCACAAUUUCAUAUCUAUACCCAAUAUACCCAACAUACCUAUAAGUUGACCUGGCGUAAUUCAGUACAAGCAAUGCAGUCUCAUGCUGUACUAGUUGGCCACCACCACAGGCUGGAAAAUUGAUCGAAGAGAGCAUCAUAAAGAUUUCAAGUUUACUUUUUGUGCUAUCUGUUAAAUACUUAUCCUCUCUCCAUUUAAUAUUUUAUUGCCUUGUGAACCAAGUGUUUGUUUCUUGCAAUCACUUUCAGUGCCUUGCUUGAACCUUCUGAUUUAUAUCUAGAUCUCACAUUUAGAUAUACUUCCGCUGUCUGACCUUGUUAGAGUGUUCAAAUUUCCUAAAGGUUGUCUAAGUGAGUCCAAUUUGAAUAUAGUACAAGAUACUUGGUUUGUCAUCAAGUUAAUUACCUGGUUUUUGAAAUAUGUAUAUUCAGUAGUGUUGUAAUUAACUAUUGUAUUUAAUUAGCUCAGUGAACUACAAGAGUGUGAUCUUUAUUGAGGGAAUGAAUUCUGCAAGAAUUUAAUUAAGGUAAUCUAACAUAGUACUCCCUGUGCCUAUUUCAAGAAAAAGGUUGGGUUGUUGAUUUCUUAACACAAUUGCAAAAUUUGGUGGAAACAUGAGUUGGUUGGGUUCUAAUUUUGGAACGGCUAUUUUCUGAUGAUCCCUGUUUUCAGAAUACAGAAUUUGUUCUGAAAGGCUAAGUCAAUAGUUGCUAGUGGUUGGUUUUGGAAAGUCAUUGUUUGGCACGCAACAUACUGAAAGGACAAAGUUGAAGCUUUGCCAGACCUACAAAAGUCACCAUUACUUGUAAAGAAAUUACAAACUAUGAUAAAAAAAACAGGUGUCCUGAUAAAUUCAUAUUAAAAGACUACUUAUUGGUGAAAACUUAAUAGUUCUGAUAAUUUUGCAUCAGAACAAGUUAUAGAUGUUAACAUGUACGCAACACUAGUUAAAAAUACAAUGAAAUUCAUUUAUCUGCAAUCUUAUUGUUAACAUGUAUGCCCUACUGGUCUGUCGUGAACUAGAAAUACACGUUGUCAAAAUCCAAUCUGCAUAAAUUUGUUCAAAUAAAGAUGCUGAGGACCUAGUGGAAACCAAAAUUGAACUGCAAUCUUUUGACAUUACAAUUUAAGGGCCAAAUCAAAAUUGAAAAUCAAACCAAAUUAGAUUUGGAACUUGUGUUUGAGACCAAGCCAACAAUUUUUUGUGUUGUUACACUUUGAAGGCCAAGUUGAAAUUGAAUCCAAUUAGAGGUUUCAGCCUCUCUGAUGUGAUUUUAGCCAAUACAUAUAUGUGCAAAACAGCAACAAGGUAAUGUAUAGCAUGCGCAAACAAUGUAAUUCGUGAUUAAUUUGUAGGUACAACUAUUGCAGCUUUGUGAACUGACAGAAAUGUCAUGAUUCAUAUACAUAACCUUUUAUUAGUUUAUUUUCAAUAAAUGAGGUUUUAUAACUGAGAUUCACUUCUGUUUAAUAUGGCUUUUUAUGCAUAAUUUCUCUGUUUAGAUAUAAAGAUUCAAUACUUCUUUGGAACUAUAACUAUGAUGCCAAAUUUGCGAGAUGAUGACAUUAUAUAAUCAUUGUGAUAAUGCUCUAAUAUUUGGAAGCAUCUUACAAAUUUUAGCUGCAACACCUUGUGUACAAGACUAACAAUUAUAUAGUGUUCUACAAUGCAUGGUUGUUUGCAAUAUGAAUUGGUUUAACUUGAGGCAAUUGGGAAGAACUGCCCAGUAUACAUCCUUUGAAGUUCUAGACUCUUAGCUUAUUCUUCAUUGCACCUUCCAAUAACCAUGUUUGUGACCUUUUCUCUUGAUAGGAUCGAAAAUAAUUUGACGUCUCUGUGACAUCUAUUAUGAAUCAUGUUCUGCCUUGUCAACAACAUCAAAGUGAAAGCAAUUAAAGAGUAAUUUUUCAGUCACAAGUUUGUUUUCAUCCUUGAAAAACAUAUCAGUCAAAACUUAAUGACCUCUUAGUAUCUUUUUUUAAUUUUCUGCUACUCAUGUUUGUUUUCUCAUGAUUUGUGAAAGAUAUAAAUAUAACAUACAAAGGUAUAGUUAUCUUUUCUACAUAAACAAAUAACUGAAUUAACUUCACAUGCUAGGCAGGCAUGUUCUAAAGCUGAUGCUGCUGGUUCCAGUACAUUAACAACAAAAUUGUCAGAAUUCAGAGAUUCAUGUUGGAGAUUUUUAAGGCCUCAUACUAUUCGUGGGACUGCAUUGGGUUCCAUGUAAGAACUUCAGAAUUUAUUGUAUAAAGAUAGUGAACGAAUUGUUCAAAUUUUGAUAUCAAUCUUGAGUUUAGUUCUCUAUAGUUCUAACUCUCUGCUGUUUCUCAUCUGUGCUUUGUUUUUCUGUUUCUUUUUUAUUAAUGACAGAGCUUUAGUUGCAAAAGCUUUGAUGGAGAAUCCAAAUCUUAUAAACUGGUGGUUGACAUUCAAGGCAUUUUAUGGACUUGCAGCUCUUAUUUGUGGCAAUGGUUAUAUAGUGGGCAUUAAUCAGAUUUAUGAUAUUGGAAUUGACAAGUAUGAUAAACUCUGCUUGCAACUUACCAAAUCUGUUAUAUGUAUGAUUUUGUUUACUUAAAGAUUUUACCUCUGUGCACAUGACAUAUCUCAUACUCCUAUUAAUCUGAUUGCAUGACCAUCUGUUUCCUUAUCCUUUUUCCUUCUCAUCUUUGGUAACUUGUGUUUCUGGAAUUUUGCAGGGUGAACAAGCCAUAUUUGCCUAUAGCUGCAGGAGACCUUUCAGUUCAGUCUGCAUGGAUUUUAGUAUUGUUAUUUGCAGCAGCUGGCCUUCUGAUUGUAGCAUGGAAUUUUGGGCCAUUCAUUACUUCCCUUUAUUGUCUAGGACUUUUUCUAGGCACUAUAUAUUCUGUUCCUCCAUUUAGAUUAAAGAGAUUUCCAGUUGUGGCAUUUCUUAUCAUUGCCACGGUAUGCUUGGCCUUCUUUUCUCUUGAUUUUUGCAAAAUUAGAGGCUUCUACUUGUUCCUUAUGCAUAUUUUGAUAUAAAACUGAUCAAACAGUUAAUCCUUAUGAUACUGAAGUAUCUACUAUCUAGUUCUGUGGCUGCAUGAAUGCAAUUUAUCUAAGAAUUGGUUAGCAGCUAGGCUGAUUUGUAAUUCAUGUAGACAGUGUAUAGGUUACCCACAACAUGGAACAAUUUGUGCACUAACCACAAUUUUCAUGGAUAAUAAAUGUCAAACAUUUAUUAUACCUAUAACCUAUAGGAGAAAUUUAUUUUUAUGCAAUUAAUACACCCAUAAAUCUUAUCUAAGAAUACUUCUAAAUCUUCUUAGAUAUAAUAGCUUCAUGACUUCCUCAAACCAUGGUUCGCUUUAUCGGCCCGUACUGAUGUACCGACUAAUUGUUGGUAUAGUACAUACUGAGCUGUACCAAACCAUACCGAAUGUAUCAAUACAUGAUACAUGGGGUUGUACCGAUGUACCGCCCAUACCGGUCUCCUAUCGGAUUGGUACGUAUAGCCCGUAUCGAGCAGUGCACCAUGGUACGACAAACCUUGCCCCAAACCAUAUAAUACUUUGAAUUAAGACUUGGUAUACUCAAGUUUUUAACUUAUGACAUUUCGAAACAUAAGGAAUAAUGAUGAUAAAUAUCAUCAUUAAUUAUUCCAAACUUAACCGUGAAAGACCCAACUGAAUCUCAUCCUACAUCAAUUAUGUUAAUGCUGGUCUCACUAACUUACAUGGUCUUCUUGAUCAAGUAGUAAUUUGCAUUAGUGCAUAUAGGGUUGACAAUAUAUUCACACUAAGUUUGCAAAAUGCUGAUCUUUUUUCUGGGUCACUCAUGUUGGGGAUUGCUCGACAACCAACUUUUGUCAAUAGGAAAAGACAGAUGAUGAUUGUUGUUUUCCUUUUGCUAGUGAAAAGUAUUUUUUUAAACAUUAUUGUUUCUGCAUAUUCAAAUACUGAUUUGUACUUAUUUACCAAUCUGAUAAGGACCAUGGUCCGAUACUAAUCAAUGUUUUAUUAUUGUCCUUUUGGAUAUAUUGAAUGGCAUGGGUUGGUAUGCCCCCUGAGGCCUGCUAUACUGGUAUUGCAUCUGAUCGAUAGAUUAUUAUUAAGUCUAAAACCGAUACCAAACAAAGACUUAAAUUCUUGUUUGUUUGUCUUAUCCUUCUUGGUGUUUUAUAUGGUUUAUAUCAUCUUUAUUCAAUUGGUUUUUUGCAGUAAUGCUUUUUCACUUUUUUUUUUGAGCUGCUAUUUUUAUUUGAAUUCCUUAUAUUCUCCUUGUACAUUCUCAGUUACUUGAUUAUACCAAAGCUUAUAAGCAAUAUGCUUAUAUUCCAAAUUACAUAUUAUGAUGGCUAGAGAUUGGCUUAUAUUUGUUGGAUAAGGUAUCUCUCAAUCACUAACUUUUUUCAACGGAAGCAAAUUGCGGAAAUUAAUUUCGGGUAAUGAGUCUAUGACAAAUGGUUCAAGCCUGGCUUAAGCUGGUCCAUAUACCAGACUGCUCUUGGGCUGUUAUUUACCACGUAUACUGUACUGGUCCAAGCAUUAACACAUUCAAUGGGAGCAAUAUUGUAUAUCAUUUUUGUAUAACUUUCCGUUCAAUAUGUGAAAUUAAUACAAAUUAGAUGUUGUUCUGUUUUAUGAAAUAGUAAUCAAGAUCACAUUCAUAAUUUCUCAAGCUGUAUUCACACAUACUCAGCCUUUUGGUGGAUAUCAGAUCAUAAUUAUUUGAAUUCUCAUUUCUUUUCUUUAUUUUUAUGGACAUAGUUUGUUCUACUGAUUAUCUUGUCUUUUUUUAUGACUACAAUUCCAUAGGUACGUGGCUUUCUUCUCAAUUUUGGUGUAUAUUAUGCUACUAGAGCUGCCUUGGGACUUUCUUUCAAAUGGAGGUAAAGAAUCUUUUGAUAUUAAUAAAUAAAAUUUGUUACUGGAAGCCAUAUGCAUACAAUAGUUUGUAACUGUAAACUAAAAUAUGUUUGUUUGAGCAAACAUGUAAAUGUUGUUUGUGCAUCUCAUUGCAGACACAUGCAGAGAUGAUGGUGAUGUUUAAUCCCAUAUAACAUCUUUCUAUCUGCAGUGCACCUGUCACUUUCAUCACAGCCUUCGUGACACUAUUCGCUUUGGUCAUUGCUAUAACAAAAGAUCUUCCAGAUGUUGAGGGAGACCGCAAGUGAGUAAUGAACUGCCCUCCAAAUUUGUAUGUAUGAUACAAAUGUCCUUCACAUUUUUCUCAAUCUUGGGUGCACUUGAUACACCUGACUGCAUAUUAAUUUGCCUUUCCAAGCACAAAAAAAACCAUGAAAUCUCCCCUGUACCAGGAAGCUAAACUAUUGCAUUGUCUUAUAUGUGAUUAAUGAAGAUAUUAGUAGAUUUAGACAUGUAUAAAAUAUCAGUCAAAAUGGGUUUGGUCCUCCAGGCAUUUCAUCUUUGUCUCUAGAAAGUCAAAGCAGAUCACUCUCCACAAUCAGGUUCUAACCCGUAUUUUAAGGCCUAGUCCAAUGCUUUCAAAGCAAAGGCUUCUGUCAUAAGCACAAUGUAUUCGAUAAAUGUCUUGCAUGAUGCACAUGUUAACCUGUAUGCAUCUAUUCUUCUUGCAUCACACCUGUGCAUAGUUAAUCAAUAUAUGCACAAAAGACUUGGAUCUUAUGGUACAUCCCAACCUAAAAGUCAAGUUUCUGUAAAUGAACCUCAGAUGGUAGAUGGCUACAUGAGAAGGAGAUUGAAUUUUGUUAAUGAAAACAUUUGUGUUGUCUCUGAGGUUUUUCUCAAGAAAUGUUCCUUGUCUUUUUCAUUUGCUCCCUGCUUAUGAUACUAUCUAGAAGUCUUUCUCAGGAAAUCAGGUUCGAUUUGAAAUCUUUUUUUCACUGUUAUUUUGUUAGCUUUACUUUUUCCUUCUUUUAUUUGUCUUCCUUUAUUUCCAUUUUGUUGUUAACACAAUUUAAUCAGAUUUAGAGACAGAACUAGUCUGCCCUGUCUGCCAUGGGCCUUAUUCUUUAGUCAUAGUAGGCAAAUUUUAUUAAUCCAUUCCCUCAUCUUCAAUUUACUGUUUCAAUCUAGGGUCUAAAUUUCCUAUUAUCUGGAUCUAGCAGAAUAGGCAUGCUCAUGUCCUUCCUCUUUAUGUCUGCACUGGUCAUCGUGCUUCGGGGAUAUUCUAGAUUGUCAUUUAGCAUAUUAUUGUAUGCAGAAAGUUUUAACCCAUAUAACUUAUAUCUUAUCCAGCUAACUGGCUUCUAUGUUGGCAAGGACUGCUUCUUGCUUAAAUCAACAUUAGUUUAACAUUGGGCACUGUAUGAUUAUCUUCCAUAAACCAUAAUGAUCUAGAGCUUUGCUCAGUAUGUUAAACUGUGUUGUCCUUGAAGUCAUAUAUGAUGCUGCUGUUUCCCCUUUAAACUUUUCUGACUCUACAGUUGUUCUUUGGAGAUGAGAUAAACAUUCACGCAAACAAAUUGUGAUUAUAAUUGUAAAUAUACUGACACUUGGAUCAUGUAUUGGUUCUACCAUUGAAACAUUAUUAGUUACCUUUAAGUAAUACUUGGUAUUUGACCCCAGUAUUCAUUUUUUUUGGCGAGAAAUAAGUAUAGCCUGUCAACCUGAGUACAAGCACUUGCACAGGGUAAUAAUACGUUGACUCAGAGUUUGGUCAUUACAUGGUUCACAUCCAAUUUAGAGUAUGGCAGUUGGUUAAUUAAUUUGAAGUGUCAAUCAAUUGGUCUUUAGUCAAUCUUGAGAGAUGCAUUGAUAUAAGAUUAUUUUACAGUAUGUCACAGCAUGAAUGUUGAGGGUAUUGCCCUUCCCAUGUAGAGUUAAAAAAUACUUGUACAUGUCAUACGUAUCAAGUAUUUCUUCCUUGGCUCACAUAUGCAAUUCUUCUUUAGAUUUCAGAUCUCAACCUUGGCAACAAAGCUUGGUGUCAGGAACAUUGCAUUCCUUGGUUCAGGUCUCCUAUUAGCAAAUUACCUUGGUGCUAUUCUUGUCGCAAUUUAUAUGCCUGAGGUGAACACAUUAUCCAAAAUCCUUUUUGCAAGUCUUGGUUCCUUCUUAAACUCAGUGCUUCAAUAUUUCUAAUGUUUGUCCACCUCUUUGUUAUAUGGUUUCGAAACUGGCUUAUGUCAUUGUAACUGUUGUUGGCAAAAAUGAAAGAUCUGUUUACUUUUCAUUCAGCUUUUGGUUGUAUUAACCGAGUGCUUCAGUGCAAGCAGCCAUGAUCUUUUUGCCUUUUUUUCUGAAUUAUUGUGCAUUUUCUUUCUCUUGAAAUCUGCCUUUUGUUUUACAGGCUUUUAGACGCAGCAUAAUGGUGCCAGCACAUGCUCUGUUAGCACUGGGAUUAAUUUUCCAGGUUAUAUCAUAUCUAAUUUCCCCGUGUUUAUAUUGCACCUUAAAAAACACUUCAAGUUCCUUGCCCCUCGUGAUUAACUGAUAACUCCAUUUAUGUUGAUAAUUCAUUUUGAAACUUGCCUUAAGAAGUUCUUGCUGAAACAUGGCAAACAACUUCUUGAUGAUUGGACUUUUUUUUUGUAACUUCUUAUAGAAUAAUAUAUUUUUUUGUUGAUGCUUCUUACUGUACUAUAUCAGAUUGGGCAUUUUGUGAAUCUUUAAGAGAUAGGCAUAGAGCUUGCCACACAUUACAUUUUUUGCUAUAAUUAUUUAAAGUUAAGUUGAAUUAAACCUAUAGAUGAUACUUAAAUGUUGUGAUAUAGGUCAAAUGAUCUAAGGUUCCAAAUACCAGACUUACCAUCUUGUAUGGUCUGGUACUUAAUUGUCUAAUAGAGGAUGAACAGGUGGGCUGGCCAAUUUCACCCAUUCUGGCUCAAAAUAGAGGUUUUUUAUUUUUUUAAUUUUAUUUUAUACAGUUGAAGACAGUUGUUGGCUGCCAACAUAUAGUAAAAGAAUAUAAUAUAAAGUAUAGCUGAGAAGGCUAUUGGAAAACACUAUUCAGAUAAGAUUGUUUGGACACCGCCACCACAGUCUCUCUCUCUCUUCUCCUGACUGUAACCACCUCCUCCAUCAUUGCUGCCUUGGCAUCCACCUUCUCCCAUUGCCACUGCUGCCUCCUCCUUGCAUCAUUGUUGCUGCUGCCUCCUCCAACAGUAUGCAAAGUCAUCUCUUCCACUUCCUUCCCCUCUUUCUCCUCCUAUGCUCACUCCUAUCUCUUCCACUUCCUCCCCCUCUUUCUCCUCCUAUGCUCACUUCUAUCUCUUAUCUCCACUCCUCUGCCUCCCCUUUUCUCGUUCUUUUUCUUUGGUGCAUGCCAUUUAGCACAGGGCACACCAUGUGUCAGCAUGCUUCACGUGCUGAUUGCCAGAUCAGUACAAGUAUCAGACCAAAAUUUGAAACCUUGGGUCUGGGCAUUCACAUGAAAUAUAUUCAAGCUGAAUGUAUACAGAAUGUCACAUAAAAAAUAUAGUUCUUUUUUAAGAAAGCAGCUUCUGUAAGUAGUUAACAGUAAAGUGAAAAAUUAGUUGGAGCAUACAUAAAAUUGGAACUUUACUGAGUGCAUGUUGGGUUGCUCCCUGAUUGCAACAUUUUGUAUCUACUCCACACGUAUGAUUCUUUGAGAAAAGGUUGGAUAAGAUGGACAUAAAUUAAAUUAAGGCACUGUUUUAGAAAUGAUUUGUUGCAUGGGCAUCCCAGUUUGGUGGCUAUUAAGUGAAGGUUCUCAUGUUGAUCAUAAGGAAAAACUUAAAUGGCCAGCUAGGAAAUAAGUCAACAUCAGGGGGGAGUUCUCAUGAGGCUAUGGAUAUAGGGGAAGAAAAUGAACCAUGUAAGUUUAGUUCUGUCACGCCUUAUGAGUUUUACUGGCAGUUAAGGAUUUUACAUGUUGGUUAUGCUAACCUUGUUGGUUGAUGCUUGAAGCUUUUAACACACUAGCACAGUACGGCAUUGGUCAUGCUAAUGUACAAUUUGCUAAUGUUGGCUGGCACUCCUUUGUUAGCACACACUGGAUUAGGACCUUACAAGCAUGAGGGUACAUCCUGGAACAAAAUGUUAUUUUGCUACUAUGUAUUCCUAUGGAGAUAAAUGCUUGAUUGCAAAUAAAUUGUAUAGUUACACAUUGUACGAGGGAUUUGCUAGGUCCAAUCUUGAGGCCUACUAUUUAUCUAGGAUUAAUCAAACUUGUCCAAAAUUAUUCAUGGCAACCAAAAUCUACCUCAGACUCAACCAGAAGCUAUUGGAACUCAAUCAAACCUCUGCCAUUGACAAAGUUCAUCUGAUGUCAGUCUAGUUCCACCGGUUUCAGUUAGUUACUGGGUUGCUCGGUUCCAGGAUUUUAGCCAGUUACCAGUCUGGUUGGUUUCAGUAAGUUCUAACUGGUUUAUUGCUAUUAUCGGUUCAUUUUGAGAUCUAAUAGCUGAUUUUGAUCCUGACUUGACGUAGCCAAUUUAUGCUGAUUUCUGGUUAUCAAGAUCGAUUUUAAUUGUCAUGGUUGAACUUAGCUCAUUUUUAGCUUUGGAGAACCCAAUUUUUUGAUUGCAGAAUUUGAUUUGGCUAGUUUGUCAAUCAUAAUUCCAUAAACCUUAGCACAUCUGACUUAAUAAUAUCCUGCCAAUUCAUAUACGUGUAUUUUAAGCUUAUAUUUCUUUGUGUAUACGAAACAAAAGAUAGUGUAAAAUAUUUGCUUUUUUUUUUCUUUGAAUUUGAAGAUGGAGUUGGCUCUCUAUCUUUUUUUUGUCUUUUCUUUGUCUCUUUAUUUUAGAGGAUAUCCCUUGUAUUCCUAAUAUUAAGCUCUCUUCCUUAUAUGAUUAGCUUUAUAAUCUUCUUAUGCAUUAAGUUGAGGGUACAUGUGAUUUUCAGGCAUGGAUUUUGGAACAAGCAAAAUACACCAAGGUAUGAAUUAUCACUAUAUACUGUCCAUUAGUUUCUUAGAUAAACUCUACUCACAGUUUUCUUUAUCAAAACCUCAAGAGAUUGGUGAUACUUUUUUCUGUAACAUUGGGAUAGGUUUUAAAUUGAGAUGUAGAAAAAGCAAAUAGAUGACUGGUGAAGAAUAUUGCUGAGAGCACAGCAUCCUUCUCAAGAAUAGUCUAACCUCUUAAAUUCUUGCCUUUAAAAUCCAAACAAUCUAAUGUGCAGAGCAAUUCAUACAAAUCCCUAUCUUGGUACAUUAUAUACAUUAAAUCAUUUACAGUCAUGAGAAGCUAGUUAAAGUUUACAAUCAUCGCUCUUAAAUCAUUGUUGAUUUGAGCAAAAUAAAUUUAGUCUUGGUGAAAACAAAUUUUAGUCCUCAAUUAGAUAGUGCUAUUACAAGAAAAACAAUUGAAACUAGGUGAGACAUGGCUGUGCCUGUGCCAAAACCAAUUUCUUACUUAGACCUGAUUAAUCUCAUAUCACCGGGAUGUUUCCUUGUGAUGCUUUUAAAUAAUUUUCAGUCAUCACUUGUUGAUUGGGUGAUAACAAGUGACUCAACCAGUUUAAGCUAUAAAAAGAAUUUGUUUGUCAUUAUUUAAUGAUAUUUAUUUUAUCCUUCUUUUUCCUUGCAGGAGGCAAUAUCACAGUUCUAUCGGUUUAUCUGGAAUCUUUUCUACACCGAAUAUAUCAUUUUUCCCCUUAUAUAGCAAAACUUAGAAUUUUCUAUUGCUUGUAUCUCUGAAUCCUUUUCGCUUAUCCUUCUAUUUCUUGAUCAAGAGAAAAUUUGUAGGGAUAAGUGUCGUAGAAGAGAUUGCCCUCUUGAGAUGCAUGCAUAGAGGAGUACACACAGUGGGGAGUGCCAGUUUUGUUCCUGAAACUGACUGAUCCAAGGGCAUGUAUUUUGCAUGUUUUAUGCAGUUAUUUUAUUAGGUUAAUUACUCAGUAUUUUAUGUGUGAAAAUUGAGGAUAAACAGCUAUGUAGUUUUCUCAUUGACCAAUGAUAAUUUAUUUUGAAUGAAUUAUUCUUCCACGGACGUCAACUACUUUUUGCAGUGUGAUACUGCUUUGUGCUGUGGGUGUUGUUUGUUGAUGAACAUUUCAGUAGAUGGGAACCUUAUUACAAUAUUAUUUUGUAAAAUUGCAUAUAUAUAAUUCAUAUUUAUCACAAAGUUAUGUUUUGUGUGUGUGUGUGUGUGUAUAUAUAUAUAUAUAUAUAUAUAUAUAUAUAUAUAUAUAUAUAAUAGUAACUUUUGCCCUAUAUUUAUUCCAAACUCGAUUUAUAGAUAUUUUAAUCUAAAUUAAAUCAGCAAAAUAAACAUGGAAAUAGCAAAAGAAAAAAAGAACACUGAAUAAAUGACAUUUCUAAAUAUCGAGGGGAGUCGCUCUCGUCAACGCUCCAUCUCACGCUCUAUCCAUCUAAAUCUGGCAUCUCAGCCGUCCAUCCAUCCGAAAGGCUUGAUAACAUUCAUCACGGUGAUGGGCACGAAACAACGGUGAGCAGAGACGAUCAUGUCUUCCACUUCGACUGGCAGCCUUCCGCCCGGCGCUGGCGGAGGCGGAGGAGGGAUCGGCGGCGGCGGUGGCGGCGGCGUAGGGGGUGUGGGAGUACGGGGCUGGCUGUCGGCCACGUCGGUGUCGUCGUCUGGGAAGAGGAUCAAGAAGGAGAUGCUGGAGCUCAAUGCCGAUCCGCCUGCCGACUGCUCCGCCGGCCCCAAGGGCGACAACCUCUACCACUGGGUCUCCACCAUAAUCGGCCCCCAAGGUCUAGCUAAACUCUUCCUCUCUUUAUCAUGUUCAUCACCACCAUAAACCCUUACGCUCUCAUCAUGUUGUUCUAAUUGCUUCUUAGAGAGGCAGAUACUUUGUGUUCUCUGAAUUUACGGUUAGCAAUGGUUUCUUGAUUUAAGCUGACCUAAAAAUUGCUGCAAGAAGGGGGCUGUUGUUUGCACUUGCAGCCCCUCUGGUUUCAUUCAUGAUUAAUGAGAACAUUCUCAUAAGCAGGCGCUUAAUAAGACUUUUUCUUAAGGUAAUGGUUUCUCGGGGCAUAUGCCCCUUGCUGCUUGAGAUUUGGGGUGAUUAAUUCCUGCCCCUUGUUGUUUUGGACCUUGGAAAGUGAACAUUCUUGUAACAUGUACACUUGAUAUAUUAAGGGAUAUGCUUGUCAUGAACAACGUUUCAUGUGUUUCUCCACCAAACAGAAAGAGGGAGAGAAAAGGGGAGGACGAGAAAAGGUGGAGAAGAGGAGGAAGACUAUUUUGUCCUUUCUCAUAUUAGUACCUAAGCAUCUUUCCUAGAUUCUGGUAAGAACAUGGUCUUACCAAAACUAGUCAGGGGCUACCCCAACAGUCGAAUAGCCUUUGUGCACCUAUAAAUAUAUUUAUUGGAGUUCCAAGGUAUAAUCUUUCCCAUUUGUUGCUUCAACUCAGUCUGGCGACCUCACUCAUUUAAGCAUCCACAUGUACGACAUUGGACUCCCAUGCCCUUUUCUUCUUGCGAUUUUCAUCAUGUAGGCUCUUUUCCAUAAUGAUCUCACUUCCUACUGUCUAGCAACUUGAUCAGCAACUUCAAGAUGGUCUAGAUAUUAUGUGAUCAUUUGACUCGUUAGUCACACUCUAUCCUCCAGUUUUAGUAUAGCGACUUUUAGUUUGGAACUAUCAAGAUUUUUAGUUUGGCCAUGAACAGAACUGAUCUAAACAUGAACUUUAACCCAUUAUACCUAAUAUGCUCUAACCGUUUUUCUACUUACAUAUGCUUAAGGGGCUUUUAGUAAGGUUUUUAAGUUUUUCUAAUUGCUGCCGUGAAUCAAAUAUGCCAUAGCUAGGAUGCAUGUCAUAUCUAUCCUGCAAUAUUGGGAACAAUUCUACAGCUCACUGUAAACGUAGUUUCUAAGAGUUCUGGUUGGUAUGGUGAUUCCAUGGGGAUUUCCUUUGAUAUAUGAGAAUCUCAGUCAAACACUCUUCUCUCCCAUUUCAAUUGGGUAGCUAAAAAAUUCCAAACAGUUGAAAGGACUGGUAAAUUUCAGAUAGACAUAAAAUAUACAUGAAAUCUCCUACGAAACAUAAAAUGUAGACUGAAAUUUAAAAAAUCUCAACUUGGGAUUUCAAAAAUGUAGGCAUGCAAAAUGGAAUAAUCUUGUUGGAACUUGGAUUCCCAUUAUGGUAAUAGUCCUAGGAUUUCUAAUCCCUGUGCUAAAAGAUAUCAUGUGUUGAUUCUUUUCAUCAUUAAUGAGCUGUAUUAUAUUUUCUCUUCAAAGAUUACAUAUAUAUUUUCACCACGAAGUUUAAUCCUCGAUGCCUACCACAUAUGUUUUUUUAUCUAUCAAUAUUUAGAAUAGAUUUUCAUACGAAUGAUAAGUACCUAAAGGAUCCAUUUGCCUGGAACCCUUGGUAGUUACCAACUUUUGUUAUUAUUUCAGGAACCCCAUAUGAAGAUGGCAUAUUUUUUCUUGACAUUGUCUUUCCAUGUGACUAUCCAUUCAAACCCCCAAAGGUAUGUGAAAUUGGACUAAAUAAAAAGACAUCAAAUUGUUGUGCUUUUGUUAGUUUAUGCUUAAUAUUAUUAUACUAGACUUUCUAGCUACAACAUUGUAUUAUUUCAUUCAAUCAUAUUGCAUCAUCAUUUAGAUUCCUCAUUUCCUUUUACUUUUUAUAUACGUUGUUUCUUAACUGUCCAACAUUAUAUUAAUGUACUCACCUGUUAGAGAUAGUUUUAUAUUGGCAAGGUCAAUUUACCUGCCCUAUGAUAUGCUAGACGUUGUCUUUCCCAAUAUCUUCCUCAGUUUUCCUGCUAUUGGAAAGCAAAUCGAAAGCUUUGGAGAAAUGAGUAAAUUGAAUAGGCCAAAGAUGAUGUACAUCUAAGCGCAACAUCUUUAAGUAGGUUUUUUUAAAAAUAGCUUUAUUUGCCAGUAUCACGAUGAGAAUACCAUGCCUCUUCAUUCUUGCAACCUAUUGUAGAUAGUGUAUCCAAGUAUCACAACUUGGGCACAAGUAUUUCUUUAUUAUACUUUUUUUUCUCAUUUUUUGUUUGUUUGAAGCAUAAGCUUAAAAGGGUGCUAUGUCGUUAUUUGCAGAGAUCCAUUCAAAUCUAACAUAAAUUAGUGAGCACCCUUAUACAGUCAGCUUCAUAUGCCUAGGUCCAUUGGUCCAUGCAUCUUCCCCUUGUCAUGUUUUGUGCUUGACAUUUUCUUGUACCUCAUUAGUAAGACCAACCUAAGGAGGUUAUCUAGACCACGAUAGAGAAAAAUAAUUGAGAAGAUAUUAUGAAUAUUUCUACAACAAAUGUAUGCUAGGAUUCCAUUGGUAUAUUGAAUAGGUGAAUCUGUGGAGAGAUGAUUAAUACUCAUAAAAUAAAUCGCACUUUCUACCUCUAUUUAUUUGUUAAUUAAGUAGAAAAUAAAUUAAAAUCAGACAUUGUUUGACAACUACGUUGCUUAGAUGAUUGACACCCCGGUUUAGUCCUACAUUGCAAAUAAAAGGAUAAAUCUAAUUGUACAUAGGGAUAGGGGUAGAUGAGUCUACUACUAUUAGCUUGGGUUUAAAUAAUUUGGAUUAUGUGGCUUUAAGCUCACUAAGUUAAUACAUUUGUCUGUUCAUCAGAACUUGGUGAUAGGCAUGAUGAGAAAUCCAACUAAGAAAGAGCUACUCGUGGACGAGGCUUAAGGCACAUCCCAACAUGCAGCCAC
rnacentral:lncRNA from 1 species